GAGCCAAAGGCAGACACUCAACUGCUGAGCCACCCAGGCGUCCCUCAUAAUAACUCUUAAGACUGCUUACAAUGUGUAUUUUAAAUUAUUUAUUUAUUCAUGAGAGAGGCAGAGACCCAGGCAGAGGGAGAAGCAGGCUCCAUGCAGGGAGCCUGAAAUGGGACUCGAUCCCAGGUCUCCAGGAUCAGGCCCUGGGCUAAAGGCAGUGUUAAACUGCUGAACCACCUGGGCUGCCCCUUUUUAAAGAUCCAUUUUUUUAGGAUUGAUUUAUUUAUUUUAAAGAGAAAGAGGGGGGUGGGGGAAGGGCAGAGAGAGUGAGAGAAUCUGAAGCAGACUCCCCACUGAGCACAGAGCCUAACACAGGGCUUGAUCCCACAACCUUGAGAUCAUGACUUGAGCUGAAGUCAAGUCAGAUGUCUAACCAACUGAGCCACCCAGGCGCCCCAUACAACGUGUUUUUUUUUUUUUUUUUUUUUACAACGUGUAUUAAUGUAGAUUUUCCCAGCCAUUUGAUCAACCAAAUCAUACAGCUGACAUGUCAAUAAUGGUGGUCAGUAGUUACAUGUGUUUAUUUACAUUUGAAUCCCUUAAAAUUUGUAAACAUUUAAAAUUAAUUUCCUUGGUUGCACUAGCCACAUUUCAAGUCCUCAGUAGUCCUGUAUGGCUAGUGCCUCUGGGCUAUGCAAACAUAGAGCAUUUUUGUAAUUGCGGAAAGUUACAGGGGACAAUGCUGUAACAGACAGUGAAUGUCUGUUAUAUACAUAACAGGAAGUUUUUAUUAUCACCAGAAGGAUUCUUCAUGGAUGUCAGUGACUUGGAAGGAAAAAUGAAUAUGAUGUAAAAGAACUUCAAAUGUAUUCUGUGAUUUUUUUUUUCCCUUUGAGGUUUUAGUUUUGAUACAGGCACUAUACUGAUGGGAAAUUAACUUCUUAAAAGUGUCUCUCUUUUUUUUUAAGUCUCUUGAUUAUAAUAUCUUCUUUGUAAAGAAACACUUGUGUGUCUGCUCUUCCUCAUUCCCCCCAAAAAAGCCCAUUUCGAUUAGAUUUACUGAAGUUUUUCCUUUUGACAGUAUAGCAUGUUGAAAAUUCCUUGUUCUUAACAGCUUUUCUGCAUUGGAAUGUAAAAUGUGCUAGGCAUUGUGCUGAACACUUUACAUGCAAUAAUAGCUCUUUUAAUCCUGUAUCAGCCCUCUGAAGUCAGACUUGUCCUUCAGGAAACAGUCCCUGAGAUUUGUGACUUGCUUGAGUUCAAGAAGCUACCUACCAAUGCACAAACUAGGCUGGAAUCUACAUCAGCCUCUACCUGAGCCUAGAACUUCCUUUUCCUUGUAUUGCACGUGAGCGUUUUAAAGCUCUCUGUAGGUGCUUUACAUAUAUUAGAACAGUGUCAGGCACAUGGUACUCUAUAAUACUCCCUAUGCCUUUAUGACAAUUGUACAUUUUUUUGGUGUUGAGUAUUUAGCGCCCGACUUAAGUGUCAGUUUUUUGUUUUUUUUUUUAAGAUUUUAUUUAUUCAUGAGAGAAGCAGGCUCCAUGCAGGGAGCCCAGUGUGGGACUCCAUCCUUGGACUUAAAGGAUCACGCCCUGGUCUGAAGGGAGGCGCUCAACUGCUGAGCCACUCAGGUGUCCCUAAGUAUCAAUUUCCUUUUGUUGAAAUGCAUCAAGUACUCUUUUAUCUUUUCCUCCAUCCUCCUCCAACCUGGAUUGUUUAUCCCAAAACAAAUGUAAUCAUUGUAUAAGAUGUGGCUCUGCUAUAAAUAUUUACAAAGUUGUAAAUGUCCA
rnacentral:lncRNA from 1 species